AAUGCUAAACAUUCUAUACUUAUGUCUGCAUCAAGAAAGUUUCGAACGUUCAAGACCACGUUAACUCAGAAGUAUAUACUUCCGUCUAAGGAUUAACCAUCACUCUUGCAGUUUCCUCCUAAAAUCUAUUCUCAUAUAAAUCAAGAAGAUUGGGAAUCGUUUGUGGAUGCUAGACUAAGUGAAGAAUGAGAGGAUUAUAGUCGUAUUCAAAGGGAAAGAAGGUCGAAAUGCGUAUACAAUCACCACAUGUCACGUAAGGGAUAUGCUAAUCUUGCCGAUGAACUAAAAAUAACGCAUGAUGUUUCCUAUCGUUCAACUCUUUGGAAAGAAGCACAUAAAGGAAAAAAAUAAUGAUUAUUUUGAUGAUGCUACUCAAGAUUGUGCCUCUCGGAUUGAUGAAUUAGUUGCAACAAAUAAAAAUGAGGACAUCUUGACUGACGCAUUGGGUUCCAAGGAGCACGGUGGACGUGUAAGAGGCGUGGGUGCUUUCGUCUCCCAAUCACAAUAUUUCAACACAGUAAAAGGGAAGGAGAAAAUGUGUCAUAAAGAAGAGGAUGACUCGAGAUGCAAAAGUGACAAGAAGAGAAGUAAUCACUCGAGGUCAUCGAUUGGAAGUAUUAAUAUAGAUCUUAAUGCCAAUGAGGACACACCUACCAACAAAGGA